UCUCCAGUGUGGUGUUGGUUAGCCACACUGAAAAACACUAUGGAGUUUUUAUAACUUACCCAAUCACAGUGCUGAGUCUGUGAUUGCAACUUAAUUUCUAAUUUCUUCUCAAAUGGAAACUAUUGUAAAAAAAAAAAAAAAAGUGUUUGAGAGUACUGAAUUGUAAAGAUGCAUAUUUUGUUAUGGAGUCUGUAAGUGAGGAACUAUGACUUUUUGGAUGUGUCUCAUUUUUAAUAUACACAAAUAUAGUAUGAGUUUUUUCUAAAUGAACCUUUUUAACAUUUUUAAAUCGGUUACAUAGUCUGUAAGGACUAAGCACAGAGAAAAUGCUUACUAAAGUAGUCUCUGAAUGUCAGAGACACUGGGAAACGACUGAAGGCCAUGGGCCUGGCAGCAAGUGGCACCUGAGAAGGGUCUGCCCCCGGAGGGGAAUGGCUGGCUGGGAAUAAGAUUGCAGGCUAGACCCCAGCCUGACCAUGGAUGGCCCAGAUGAAUUGCACAGAGCUCCUUCCCCCAGGGACUGGGAGCUUUCUGGUGAGAAAGCAGCGAACUUGAGGCCAUGACCUAAAGCCUAAACUCUUAUCUAGUCAUGUUGAAUAUGCAGUUAACUAAAUGCUCUCCUGGUCACUCCCUGCACUACAUACUCUUAAACAUUCUUACCUAUACUUUCUCUUGCCUAAAGAAAGCUGGGGGUCUCAGAGUCAGGGUCUGCAAGAAUUCUGGUGGUGUGAAGAGUGGGCUGUUGUGAAAGAUGAAGCUCACUGGAGGCAAACCAACCCCCGUGCUGGACAACUCUGACACAAGAUGUGGAGUACACUGAUAGAUUCUGCCACCGCAGAGCCUCCUGUCUGCCCCCUUGGCCUGGAGAGCGUCUCCUUAGGAUCAUUUGUUUCUCAGAUCUCUACUGAACCCUCAGCUUUUCUGGUGUUUCCUUCAGUAUCUGAAAUAGGGCUCCUCUUACCUCUCCAACCUGACUCCUGACUGGACUCUCCGACCCUGUUUGUUUUCUCUUGGCACUCACUAAUCAUCAUCUCAGAUUAUCUCCCCAUUAAAACAUCUGCCUUGAGACUUUCUCUUGUUUGCCCUUACAUAGUGGCUGUGGAAUAAAUAUUUACUGAAUG
rnacentral:lncRNA from 1 species